GUGCCAGCAGCCGCGGUAAUACAGAGGUCCCAAGCGUUGUUCGGAUUCACUGGGCGUAAAGGGUGCGUAGGCGGCUUUGCAAGUCUGAUGUGAAAUCUCCAGGCCCAACCUGGAAACGGCAUUAGAAACUGCGGGGCUAGAGGCUUGGAGGGGGAACUGGAAUGCUCGGUGUAGCAGUGAAAUGCGUAGAGAUCGAGCGGAACACCAGUGGCGAAGGCGAGUUCCUGGACAAGUCCUGACGCUGAGGCACGAAAGCCGGGGGAGCAAACAGGAUUAGAUACCCCCGUAGUCC
rnacentral:rRNA from 1 species